rnacentral:lncRNA from 1 species
AUGGAGGACCUUGGACAACUUCCAAUAUCUAUAAGUCACAAGAUUUUUCACUGCCACGAUGAGAAUGUUGUCUCCCACCAUACAGCCAGGUCUUGCCAAACACCUCCCUGCAGGCUCCAGACUCUUCUCAUCAACAGCUUCCGAAACCUUUUCCUCCUCAUCACCUCUCUCCAUUGGUGGCACCUCCAUCCUCUCUGGCAUCCAGGCUGACAGCCCAGGAAUAGUAAGAUUUUGAGAGGUAAGAAGCCAACAAGGCAUCAGAAGUCACCAUACAUCCUUCUGGCUGUAUUAGAACCCAUGUCAACACUAGUAUUUAAAAUAUAUUACAAAGACAGUAUAAGUCUAAAACCGUACCUUGAUAUAGUCGAUGUUUAACCUAGAAGAGUGGGGGGGGAGAAAUUAAAUUUUAUGUCAAAACAUAUUCUUAAAACAAUUCUUUAGUUUCUGAUAAAUGAAAUCAUAAUUCAAUGAAAUUAAAACAAUAUUUACUUAGUUCAAUGUGUAUUCACUGAAUUUAAAAUUUGAAAAAACAGAAUAUCCUGUUUAUAUGGUGAUAAUUCAUAAAUCAUUCCUAGUAAGGAGUACUGGGUAAAUGCCUUAUCUUGAUGGGUUAACAUUCUAUUUAAAAGAACACAAUCUACCUAACUUUUUUAAAUUAAUUUUUUAUUUUUAAAGAAGGUUUAGAUUACAUAAAAAACAUAAGGGAUUCCCAUAUGCCCUCUCCCUCCCCCUCCCAGUUUCCCACAUCAAAAACAUCCCUCUUGGAAAUAGCACACAUUUUAAAAAUUUAUUUGCAAAUAAUUGUUUUCAAAUCCAAUACACAUUGAAAUCCAGAAUCAGGGUUGACUAAAAAGUCCCCCAAAAAACAAAUGAAAAAGUAAAAUCUUUAAACUAAAAUAUGCUUCUUUUAUUCACCAUACAGAAUCUAAAACAUCUUUUUCAGAGUUGACUAUUUGCUGAAUUGAUUUACAAUGCCAGCAAAGAAGGUCCUGUGUUUUUAUCAGAACACUUAAACACAGAGGUCAACAAAUCAGAAAAGGAGUGCUUGAGGAGCAGAGAAAAUGCACAAGCAUAACCAGAAAUGAGAGCCCCGUGUGUGUGAAAGCACAUGUGUUCUAACUAAACUAUACAAAAUCCCUGGUUUCUGCUUUUUUUCCACUUGACCUUUGAUCAAGAAUGCUGUCCAUGUCCUGAAAUACCUUUGGAACAUAUGGAUUUUAUAAGCUGCCUAACACUGCAGCACUAUAAGGAUGUACAGUGAUUUAGCUCUUCUGUACUGUUGCCACAUUUUCAUUGUAAUAAAUACCAUCUGAUCAAAUAUAUUCCUCCAAGAUCACUGAAAGCAUGUUUGGUUAUUUCAUUGGGGUAGAGUCUCAUAUGUAGAUUUAUAAUGAAUAAAAAUGAUAUGAACAUUUUAAAGGCUUCAGACACAUUAUUAAACUGCUUUUCAGGUGAACCUACAAUUCCACCAGCACUAUAUGAAGGGCUCAGAAAAUGCUUAAUAGUAGUACUACUUUAUGAUAAAAGGGAUUUAUAAAUUAAGGGUUCCAUCAAGAGUAUACAGUUGUCUUGCCCACUGAGUCCUUAUUUCAAAGAUUGGAUUGUACAAGGUUAGCAUCCAUUUCAAACACGCAUUCAUGUCAGUCAUCUAAAAGCAAAAUUGAAAAAACCAAAAGAAGACAGAAUUUCCUGCUUAUUUAAGAGACCAACACGCCUAGAAGGCACUUUAAUAUACUCACGGCAAGCACAUAGCUGCAGAUUAAAAUGGCAAAUGAAGCAAUUCCCAAAUAAACAAUAAUGAUGAGAGGUUUCCAAGGUAUUUCAUAAAAAUCAGGACCAGGAUAAAAAUCCUCAGGCAGGUAUUCAAUCAGCUGGAAUAUAAAUAUUGGAAAUAAGGAGGAGCUUCAAGGAAAUCUGUCAUAUAGCAGUGACAAACCAUCAACCACAGAAACCCUAAACUGGGCUCUAAGAACGCCUGGGAGUUGGCACCUUGUGUUGCCCAUGGCUGGC